UACGAAGGGGGCUAGCGUUGCUCGGAAUUACUGGGCGUAAAGGGCGCGUAGGCGGCUCGGUCAGUCAGGCGUGAAAUUCCUGGGCUUAACCUGGGGACUGCGCUUGAUACUGUCGAGCUUGAGGCCGAGAGAGGGUGGUGGAAUUCCCAGUGUAGAGGUGAAAUUCGUAGAUAUUGGGAAGAACACCGGUGGCGAAGGCGACCACCUGGCUCGGUACUGACGCUGAGGCGCGACAGCGUGGGGAGCAAACAGG
rnacentral:rRNA from 1 species